UGCUCGAGUUCCGGCGGGUCGCGCCCAGGGCCACGCCCGGCUGCCCAUCGCGCGGGAGGGGUACCCAUUGGCAAGGUGGGAGAAUGCGGCGAGGCCGGCGCGGGAGAGCGCGGGCAGCCAUUGUGGCGUGCUCCCGCACCGCCUACGUGGAGUUCGCCGCUGGGGCGGUGAGAGGAGAGCCGCUGCUCUGUGGACUCCUGGAACCUCGGCGGGAUGCUUUUUAGGGAGGAAGCCGAGCGUGCGUCUCGUCCAGCGCCGCGGACGAAUCGUGCCACAAUAAUUCCGUACAAAAUGUAUCGAUGUUUAAUUCUCAGGAUCAACUGAAAAACCUUGAGAAGAUAGAGGUAAAAUAUUGCCUCCCCUACAAUUCCUGGUGACAAUGAUGGGAUGUCAGUGACUGUAACACUAAGAGAUCCUGGGACAUCUGACAACCAGCAGAAGAUGGGGUCAGAGUCAAGUAAACCAUAUGGAAUGGACGCUUCACAGGAAAGAAGGUUCCUUUAUUAAAGAAGAGGGAAGACAAUGGGGGACUGCACCUACAGAUCAAAUCUCCACGCCACCACCAGCCCAAGUCCCCCUUGUCUCUCCCCGGCAAGAUCUCCUCACUGGCCUCUCAGGUCCUGGCUGCUGCAUGCUUCCCAUCAUUCACCAUACAGCAAGCUGA